CUAAGAAUAUUCCGCAAUGGACGAAAGUCUGACGGAGCGACGCCGCGUGGAUGAAGAAGGCCGCAGGGUUGUAAAAUCCUUUUGCUGGGGAAGAAUAAGUCCAGGAGGGAAUGCCUGGAUGAUGACAUGAACCGGCGAAUAAGCCCCGGCCAACUACGUGCCAGCAGCCGCGGUAACACGGAGGGGGCAAGCGUUGUUCGGAAUUACUGGGCGUAAAGGGCAUGUAGGCGGUUUAGUAAGCUUGGCGUGAAAGACCACAGCUCAACUGUUGGGGUGCUUUGAGAACUGCUGAACUUGAGUUACGUAGAGGGAGCUAGAAUUCCUGGUGGAGGGGUGGAAUCUGUAGAGAUCAGGAAGAAUACCGAUGGCGAAGGCAAGCUUCUGGCCGAUAACUGACGCUGAGGUGCGAAAGUGUGGGGAUCAAACA
rnacentral:rRNA from 1 species